GCUGUCGUAGCUCAAUUGGUAGAGCAAUCGCCUUGUAAGCGAUAGGUUAUCAGUUCGAUUCUGAUCGGUAGCU
rnacentral:tRNA from 1 species